rnacentral:rRNA from 1 species
UUGACAGAAUUCUUCGGAAGGAAGUUGAUUAAGUUUAGUGGCGGACGGGUGAGUAACGCGUGAGUAACCUGCCUUUGAGAGGGGAAUAACUUCCCGAAAGGGAUGCUAAUACCGCAUGACGCAUAUUUAUCGCAUGGUAGAUAUGCCAAAGAUUUAUCGCUCAAAGAUGGACUCGCGUCCGAUUAGCCAGUUGGCGGGGUAACGGCCCACCAAAGCGACGAUCGGUAGCCGGACUGAGAGGUUGAACGGCCACAUUGGGACUGAGACACGGCCCAGACUCCUACGGGAGGCAGCAGUGGGGGAUAUUGCGCAAUGGGGGAAACCCUGACGCAGCAACGCCGCGUGAAGGAUGAAGGUUUUCGGAUUGUAAACUUCUUUUAUUUAGGACGAACAAUGACGGUACUAAAUGAAUAAGCUCCGGCUAACUACGUGCCAGCAGCCGCGGUAAUACGUAGGGAGCAAGCGUUAUCCGGAUUUACUGGGUGUAAAGGGUGCGUAGGCGGCUUGGUAAGUCAGAUGUGAAAUGUAUGGGCUCAACCCAUGCACUGCAUUUGAAACUAUUGAGCUUGAGUGAAGUAGAGGUAGGCGGAAUUCCCUGUGUAGCGGUGAAAUGCGUAGAGAUAGGGAGGAACACCAGUGGCGAAGGCGGCCUACUGGGCUUUAACUGACGCUGAGGCACGAAAGCGUGGGUAGCAAACAGGAUUAGAUACCCUGGUAGUCCACGCUGUAAACGAUGAUUACUAGGUGUGGGGGGUCUGACCCCUUCCGUGCCGGAGUUAACACAAUAAGUAAUCCACCUGGGGAGUACGACCGCAAGGUUGCAA